rnacentral:rRNA from 1 species
UACGUAGGGGGCAAGCGUUGUCCGGAAUCAUUGGGCGUAAAGCGCGUGUAGGCGGCCCGAUAAGUCCGCUGUGAAAGUCCAGGGCUCAACCCUGGGAUGCCGGUGGAUACUGUCGGGCUCGAGUCCGGAAGAGGCGAGUGGAAUUCCUGGCGUAGCGGUGAAAUGCGCAGAUAUCAGGAGGAACACCAAUGGCGAAGGCAGCUCGCUGGGACGUGACUGACGCUGAGACGCGAAAGCGUGGGGAGCAAACAGG